AGCUUUGUGCAGUGGCAGUAUCGUAGCCAAUGAGGUUUAUCUGAGGCACAGUUAUUGCUAAUUGAAAAAGAUUAUUUGAAAA
rnacentral:snRNA from 1 species